CAAGUCAUUGCUGGCCAUGGGAAUUCACACACUCAAAACUCAAGCAAGCAUUGACUGAAGUUAGUGUACUGUCUGAUGUGUUACAAAUUGUUCAUAAUCAUCAUCAA